CCUACGGGCGGCUGCAGUGAGGAAUAUUGGGCAAUGCCCGCAAGGGUGACCCAGCAACGCCGCGUGGAGGAUGAAGGCCGUAAGGUUGUAAACUCCUGUUAGAGGAGAAGAAUAGUACCGAUUGGAUCGGUAUUUGACUGUACCCUCAGAGAAAGCCCCGGCUCACUACGUUCCAGCAGCCGCGGUAAUACGUAGGGGGCAGGAGUUGUCCGGAGUUACUGGGUGUAAGGGGCGAGCGCAAGUGAUAGCUGAAAUCCUACAGCUUAACUGUAGAACUGCCUGUGAUACUGUUAUUCUUGAGUUCGGGAGAGAGAGACGGAAUUCCAGGUGUAGUGGUGAAAUACGUAGAUAUCUGGAAGAACACCAGUUGCGAAGGCGGUCUCUUGGUCCGAUACUGACGCUGAGGCGCGAAAGCGUGGGGAGCAAACAGGAUUAGAUACCCUGGUAGUC
rnacentral:rRNA from 1 species